GGUGCUUGCACUGGGUGGAUGAGUGGCGAACGGGUGAGUAAUACGUGAGUAACCUGCCCUUGACUCUGGGAUAAGCCUGGGAAACUGGGUCUAAUACUGGAUACGACAUGUCAUCGCAUGGUGGUGUGUGGAAAGGGUUUCACUGGUUUUGGAUGGGCUCACGGCCUAUCAGCUUGUUGGUGGGGUAAUGGCUCACCAAGGCGACGACGGGUAGCCGGCCUGAGAGGGUGACCGGCCACACUGGGACUGAGACACGGCCCAGACUCCUACGGGAGGCAGCAGUGGGGAAUAUUGCACAAUGGGCGGAAGCCUGAUGCCGCGACGCCGCGUGAGGGAUGACGGCCUUCGGGUUGUAAACCUCUUUCAGCACGGAAGAAGCGAAAGUGACGGUACGUGCAGAAGAAGCGCCGGCUAACUACGUGCCAGCAGCCGCGGUAAUACGUAGGGCGCAAGCGUUGUCCGGAAUUAUUGGGCGUAAAGAGCUCGUAGGCGGUUUGUCGCGUCUGCUGUGAAAGCCCGGGGCUUAACCCCGGGUGUGCAGUGGGUACGGGCAGACUUGAGCGCAGUAGGGGAGACUGGAAUUCCUGGUGUAGCGGUGAAAUGCGCAGAUAUCAGGAGGAACACCGAUGGCGAAGGCAGGUCUCUGGGCUGUUACUGACGCUGAGGAGCGAAAGCAUGGGGAGCGAACAGG
rnacentral:rRNA from 1 species